GUAUGCAGAAAGACUUCUAGACUUUUUUGAUCUGGAACACUUGAAGUCAGGUGUUGAGCAUAACAGCAGGUCAAUCAUUUUGGGUCGGCAGUAAAUAUUUUUCAUGAUAUGUUUAAACUUUGCAUUUUUAACCUCCACCUCAAAUUUUAUCUCUUGUAGACAAGUUGCAAUUGAAAAUGUUAUCUUUUCCAUUAUUGGAAGCCUUGACCACUUCAAGCAAGUUGAAGGCAGAACACUCCAAGCAUGAUGGAAUCCCUUCUCUUGUCCGGCAGCAUUAGUGGAUGCUGGCGAGAUGACCAUCAAGGCUGAAGUAUGGCAACACUGUGCUGUUUGAGAGUAAACGGAGAGACAAGUUGCAAUUGAAA